rnacentral:rRNA from 1 species
GAUGAACGCUGGCGGCGUGCUUAACACAUGCAAGUCGAACGAUGAAGCCCAGCUUGCUGGGUGGAUUAGUGGCGCACGGGUGAGUAACACGUGAGUAACCUGCCCUUGACUCUGGGAUAAGCGCUGGAAACGGCGUCUAAUACCGGAUACAAGCUUCCACCGCAUGGUGAGUUGCUGGAAAGAAUUUCGGUCAGGAUGGACUCGCGGCCUAUCAGGUAGUUGGUGAGGUAACGGCUCACCAAGCCGACGACGGGUAGCCGGCCUGAGAGGGUGAACGGCCACACUGGGACUGAGACACGGCCAAGACUCCUACGGGAGGCAGGAGUGGGGAAUAGUGCACAAUGGGCGCAAGCCUGAUGCAGCAACGCCGCGUGAGGGACGAAGGCCUUCGGGUCGUAAACCUCUUUUAGCAGGGAAGAAGCGAAAGUGACGGUACCUGCAGAAAAAGCACCGGCUAACUACGUG